AGUGACGCCACGGGUGGGGGAAGCUGGUGCCGCUCCCUCGCAGGCGGCGCCAUUUUGUGUUCCUAUCUGUGGCAGUCGCACGAAUCGUGCGAGUUGGGCAGCGGAGGUAGGACCCUUCGGGAUGGCGGAGAUUUUGUCAGGCGCAGGCGAUUCCAGUUCUGUCACGGCAGGGCUCAGCUCCGCCUCCUCAGAGACCGGGACCCGGCGGCUAAGCGAUCUGCGGGUGAUUGACCUCCGGGCCGAGCUGAAGAAGCGGAACCUGGAUAGCGGAGGCAACAAGAGCGUCCUGAUGGACCGUCUCAAGAAGGCAAUUGAAGAUGAAGGGGGUAAUCCUGAUGAAAUUGAAAUCACUUCCGAAGGAAGCAAGAAAACAACUCCAAAGAGACCCAGCAAAGCAGGACGAAAAAUGGAAGAAGAAGGUGCUGAAGAUAAUGGACUGGAGGAAAACUCUGGAGAUGAACAGGAAGAUGUUGAAACAAGUUUGGAUAAUUUUCGAGAUAUUGACAUGAUGGAUAUCAGUGUCUUAGAUGAAGCCGAAAUAGAUAAUGGGAGUGCUGUAGAUUGCGGAGAGGACUACAGUGCUGAUAAUAUUCUUGACUCCCUAUCUGAUAGUAAAGAAAAUGCUGAUGCAGAAAUGAAGGAAUUUCCAGAUCAGCUUACAGAACAUGCUGUGGCAGACAAGGAAAGUGUAAACAAUUUAGAUACUUCAUCAUCUGACUUCACUGUGGUACAGGAGAUUGAGGAUCCAUCCUUGGAGCCAGAAAAUGAGAAAAUACUCGACAUUUUGGGGGAAACUUGUAAGUCUGACCCACUAAAAGAAGAAGGUUCCGACCUGGAGCAGCCAUUUUCACAAGAUGCAAGUAGCGUGGGGCCAAGCAAAAAGCUUGCAGAGGAAGAGGACAAUUUUGUCACCGCUCAUCCAGAGGAGGAUGCAUUAGAUUUGGACAACGAGUCAACACAAGCAAUUGCCAAGAAGGCAGAAAAGCACUUAGAUCUAGUGAAAAGGGAGAAAAGCGAGCAGAAAGUAGAUGAAGAGAAUAUGGACUCUGACACUGUAGUGGUAGAGAACCUAAAUGAUCAGAGUAGCAAAGCAUCAGAAAAUACAGAAGCUUCUAGCGAGGAAGCCCAGGAAACACCAGAGAAAGUCUCAAGCCCCGAAACCAAAGAAAGCAAAGAAGACGUUAAGAAAAGUGAAGAUGAAGGUUAUAAUGAAGAUUCACCUGCUACUAAAGAGUCCUCUACCAAUGAGGGCGGUGAUCAGAAAAUGAGCUCUAUUGAAGAGGACUCAGAUACCAAAAGAGUCUCCAAAGAUGAAAAAGGUCAUACCACUAGCAGUUGUGGUAGAAAUUUUUGGGUUAGUGGACUUUCUUCUACUACCAGAGCUAUAGAUUUGAAGAAUCUUUUCAGCAAAUAUGGAAAGGUGGUUGGUGCCAAGGUAGUCACUAAUGCUCGAAGUCCUGGGGCUCGGUGUUAUGGUUUUGUCACAAUGUCCACAUCUGAGGAAGCAACAAAAUGUAUUAACCAUCUUCAUAAGACAGAGCUUCAUGGGAAAAUGAUCUCAGUAGAAAAAACAAAAAAUGAACCUGCUGGGAAGAAAACUUCAGAUAAGAGAGAAGGUGAUGGAAAGAGAGAGAAAUCAACUAACAGUGACAGAUCUACCAACAUAAAAAGAGAUGAUAAAAUGGACAAAAAAGAUGACAAUAGAAAAGAAGAUGGAAGUGAUGAGAAGGAUAAAGAUGAACAGAAAUCUGGAUCUGAUCGAACUAGAACUACUAAGUCAGGAAGUCGAGGUACAGAGAGAACUGUAGUAAUGGACAAAUCCAAAGGAGAGCCUGUUAUUAGUAUAAAAACAAGUGGAGGAAAAGAGGGAGUCUCAAAGAGCCAAGAUCGUAAAUCUGCCAGUAGAGAAAAACGGUCUGUUGUGUCAUUUGAUAAGUCCAGAGACCAGCGGAAGAUGAGAGAUUCAGAGUCUCGAAGAGCAUGUGAGUGGAGUGAGAGAGAAGAAAGAAUUCAAGCCUUACAGGAACGAGAAGAAAGAGAACGUCUGGAAAUAGCCCGUGAGAGACUUGCUGUUCAGAGACAACGACUAGAAAGAGAAAGAAUGGAAAGAGAGCGACUGGAGAGGGAAAGGAUGCAUAUAGAAUAUGAGAGGCGCAGAGAACAGGAGCGAAUUCAUAGGGAAAGGGAAGAACUCCGCCGACAGCAAGCACUUCGUUAUGAACAAGGAAGACGACCUGCAAUCAGACGCCCUUAUGAUGUGGAUGGCAGGCGGGAUGAUUCUUAUUGGCCAGAAGGAAAGAGAGCAGCACUGGAUGAUCGAUACCAUUCUGAAUUUAGCCGUCAAGAUCGCUUCCAUGAUUUUGAUCAUAGAGAUCGUGGGCGGUACCAGGAUCAUUCAGUGGACAGGAGAGAAAGUUCAAGAUCAAUGAUGGGAGAUAGAGAUGGACAGCAUUAUCCAGAACGCCGUGGAGGACCAGAUCGCCGUGGACGGGAAUCCCGAGAUGAAUGGAGCAGUUAUGGAUCUGAGAAGAGAAUGAGCAAAGGAAGAGGGCUUCCUCCUCCACCCAGGGGACGAGAUUGGGGAGACCAUGGUCGAAGGCUAGAUGACCACCAAGAUCGCUCAUGGCAAGGAAAUGUAGAUGGAGGAAUGAUGGGUCGAGAUCAUGAGAGAUGGCAAGAUGAGAUGGAGAGAAGUUAUUAUUGCCUGAUGUCACACAGUGGUGAGAGAAGUAUGUCUGGUCACUCUGGACCAGGCCAUGUGAUGAAUCGAGGAGGGAUGUCGGGUCUUCAUCCUCUUUGACCUCUGCAACUUGGGCCACUUUUGGGAAGUAUUUUGAAGUGGAAGUACUGGGUUGCAAAACCCAGUUCAAGUCAAGAAUUUAUUAAGUACUAUAUGCCAGGCACCAGGCUAAACUCUGAAGAUAAAAGAAAAGCAAAAAUAGUCCUCACAUUCUAAUGGGGGAUGCAGCAUGCAUGAGACCAAGGAGAUACUUGAGGGUCCACAGAGCCCUUGUCCAGACCUCCUUGUUGUGGGCCAGGAAAAGGAAUCGCUUCCUUGUCUGGGGAAGAUGCGGACGGUCACCGGGCAGGACGGUCACUGGGCAGGAUGGGUCCCCGACACCAGCGGAUCUCCCGGACAUUCCAGCUCGGCUGCACAGAGCCCAGCACCAGGGCCAGCCCUGCGGCCUGGAUGCCAGAUGUGUUUGUCUGAGCCCUGGUGCAAAACGAGCCCGAGGCAGGCUCUCACUGGGUCAGGAGCCAUGCAGGGAUACUCCCAGAGUCUCUGAGGAACCUUGGUGGGGGUUAUAAGCCAUGAGGAACGCCGACGCAGGACCCCCUAGCAAAGCUUGCCCGCUCAAAGGGGACACAAGGCGCACAAGUCUAGACCAGGGUGCAGGCUCGACCUCUGGACUGACCAGCCACAGUUGGAGGCGCCCUACCUUGACCCCAACAUCAUGAGGUCUUUGGUCCUGAGCUCCCACCACUCGACCCCCCUUGUCUUAUGAGGUGGAUCACAUGUCCUGGCUGAGAUGAGGGGGCUUCAGAGGAGGCGGCCCGAAUAAUGCAGCCUCAGCUGUGACUCUGUCAGCCAAUCAGAAGCAAUCUGUGUUGUAGUGCUUCUGCUCUAUCGGGCAGAAGGCCAUCGCCCGAUUUACUAGCGACUGCCAGCCUAAUAAAUGGGUCAUGCCGGAA